CCUACGGGGGGCAGCAGUGGGGGAUAUUGCACAAUGGGGGGAACCCUGAUGCAGCGACGCCGCGUGUGUGAAGGAGUAUUUCGGUAUGUAAAGCCCUAUCGGCAGGGAAGAAUUUAGACGGUACCUGACUAAUAAGCCCCGGCUAACUACGUGCCAGCAGCCGCGGUAAUACGUAGGGGGUAAGCGUUAUCCGGAUUCACUGGGUGUAAAGGGCUCGUAGACGGCCAGGCAAGCCUGGAGGGAAAGCCCGGGGCCCAACCCGGGGACUGCACGUGGAACUGUCCGGCUGGAGUGCGGGAGGGGCAGGCGGAAUGCCUGGUGUAGCGGUGAAAUGCGUAGAUAGCAGGAGGAACACCGGCGGCGAAGGCGGCCUGCUGGACCGAGACUGACGUUGAGGCUCGAAAGCGUGGGGAGCGAACAGGAUUAGAUACCCUAGUAGUC
rnacentral:rRNA from 1 species